GGCAUGGAAGGGAAUCUGGUCUUUGGAGAACUAAAAGGAGAAUAAUUUAGCCAGUUACAUAGGCCCAUCGUAUUUUUUUCCCUAUGAUUUAACUAACUUCAUCUUUAAUACACAGGUUAGAAAACCAGGCUAAUUAUGAAUAAAAUGAGAAACACAUCUAGACAUUUGAACCAGUAUCACUACCAAAAGUGGACUUUGUUUUCGUAGGAGGAACCGACUCUAAUUCUUAAUGGUUAGGAUUGAUGUUUAUACUCAGGAGAAGUAUACACUUAUACUUGUUAAAUUCAGAAGCAAAUCUAUGGCUCUGAGCAUCAUUGUUGAUCCUGAUUAUUUAAAAGGACCACGAACCAUCUUCAUAGUAAAUUAGACUGCAUAGAAGUUCAGAAAGAGCACAGCGUUAGGAAUCAAAUUGCCCUGGGGUUGAACAGCUGUUUGCCUUGAGCAAAUUAUUUAAUUUCUCUAUCUAGGAUUGCUUGUAUAUGAAACAGGCAAUUGAGAUAUUUCUAACACAGGAUAGCUUUAGAGCAAAAAGUGGGAUAGUGCAUAGACUUAAGAAUAAAUAAAUAGUAAAUUCUAAGUUAAAACGAGUUUCUUCUACUCCAACAUCUUCCACAUCCUUUUGUAGUAGAUUUUUAACAGAAUUGACUGUACUUUUAUUUACAAAUUUGCCACAAUUUUAAAAGGCUGGGUCAGGUUCUUCUUUUCAUAGGCAGAGAGGAACUUGUCCUUCAGAUGGCUGCUAUGGUAAGAGAGGCACCUGGUAACCUACUGCUCUUCAGGAUACACUUUCCUCCUGUUUCCUCUCUUCCUGUCCCCUUCAGAACUGUCCUUUUCCUUCAGAAGGACAGUGGGCACCAAGUCUACAUCAGUUACUCUCAAAAUGUGGUUGCUGGAUGUAGCUUCAAGUCACCAGAGAAUUUUCUAGAAAUGGAAUUUCUCAGCCCCGUUAUGACAUACUGAAUCAGAAGUUCUGGCAGUGAGGCCCAGCAGUUGAUGUUCUAACAAGACUUUCUGGUGAUUCUACAUGAUAAAGUUUUAGAUCCAUUGACAUACAAAAAUAUUUUCUCUGUUUCACAUCUUUAAUUCAUUUGGUGGAAAAAUACUUUGUGAAUGGCUGUAUCACAAAUCCACUUCAUUUGGGUCUAUGAUAAAUGGAAUGGCUAAUUCAAAGAAGUGUAGAAGAAUUCACCACAAUUAAGCCAGUGGCUAAAUCUUGACUAUGUUUUGCUGAGUUCUCAGCCAAUGACAUAACCAUCAUCUGACUCUAAAGGAGAAAGACGAAGUCUACACAUGGAGAAAUAUGAUUUUGCCAGAUGAGCAAAAGAUGCUAGAAGCUGCAGAUAAAAUAGGAAGGAAUCUUCAGAUGAUGAAGAAAGAUGAAGGAAGGAAAAUCAAGAAAAUAUGGAACUCAAAAUUAGGCUAAGGCUUUAAAUUUCUAUGAAAAUGAGAAAUAAUACCAGGGUACCAGAAGAAUGGGAGAGAACAUUUUUCUUUUUUCUCAGGUGGAGAUAUGGUUAAGGGUAAACUCUGUGCCCUCUGCCACUGUUAUGUCAUCAUAAAUUUAUAAGUUACUAUGUUUCUCUGUAACCUGUGGUUAACACUGCAUUUAUAGUAUGCAAAAUA